AUUUUUUCUACACUUUCCGUUCUAUUCUCGUUAGUUGACUAGUUAAAACGCAGUCUACUCCUGACACUGAAGUGAUUUCUCUACAAAUGUUUGCAAGAAAACAAUGAAGUUUGAUACAAGUGUGCUUCUUGCACUCCUUUCAUUUAUUUCGCAAGGUGCAGCCCAGUUCCCUAUCAGCCAACUACCCGAUUUCAGCUAUUCUGACACCAAAAAUGGACCGACAUUUUGGGCUCAAAAAUACGCCACUUGCGGAGGCCAAAAGCAAUCUCCGAUCGACAUUGACAAGAACUCAGCAACAAAAGCCGACUUUCCCGCACUGGUGUGGUCUGAAUUCCAUGACACGGCUCGCACAGGUUUACUUAUCAACAACUGGCAAGGAGUUCAACUGGUGCUUGGACCAGAGUCUCUGCCAGAGGCCAGAAUAAGAGGUGGUCCUUUGCUUAGCGAUUACGUCUUAGCAAGCAUUAAUUUCAAAUGGGGCAACGAAUUGGGCAGCGAGCACUCCAUCGAUAAAUACUUUUACGGAUUAGAAGCUCAGCUUAUUCAUUUCAAAAAGUCAACCCAAUCCCCUGACGCGGCCACGAGGGAGCAAGAUGGAUUUGCGAUCGUUUCCAUUUUAUUUGGAAUAAACCAAAAGUACAACCUAUCGGAACUUGAUCCAAUAGUGAGUAAUUUGAAAAAUGUGAUCGACGGUGGGUCUAUGCAGCCUCUGCAGAGUGGAAGGUACAUGGGCUGGCUGAAGAAGUUUAUAAGUGCAGACUGCAAUUGCACCAAAGAAACGUAUUACACGUACGUGGGGUCCCUGACAAAUCCACCAUGUACAGAAAAUGUCGUCUGGAUUGUGAUGGCGAAUCCAAUCCCAAUAGGACAGAGUCAGGUUUGUAUGAACUAUUUCACAUUUAACUCUUUUAAAGAGGUCCUGGAGAGGUAAAAAAAAUAUUUUUUCUUUUUUUGUCUCGCGAUUGAAAAUUGGGAAAAUUGCAUCAAUGCUUGAUACCGGUAAAUAUCAAUCAGUAUGGGAAAAUUCCAUUUCUCGUACUCCUCUGUAUUUUUAAUGUGUAUUAUAUCGCGACAGAUGCCACUAGGAGAAAGGCAGUUCAUUGGUGAAUUGAGCUCCAAGAAUUUCAGAAGAUCAAAGGAAUGACGAAUUCAACAUUGUCAGACAACAAGCGGCCAGUCCAGCAGCUCAACGGCCGAAAGUUGCAGUACAAACAGAACUCUACCGUCAUGAAAUGCCACCCAUACCUUGUUGUCUUGAUUUUAGAAUUGUUUUACUUGAUUUAGAUAAAUUAAAGGCGUUAAUCAAUUGAAA